UAAAAAAAUAAAAUAAAAUUGAUACUGAUACGUCUCUCACUCGAUCUCUAUCACUCUGUCAGUAUUCCUCAGCUCUUCCUAUAUAUAUAUAUAGAGCGGGACUGCUGUGCUCUCAGGAGCACGGAGGCAUCCGUGCUCCUGAGCCGUUUUCAAUGAUGGAAUUUCCGAACCAACGAUCGGCUCCGUUAGACUUGAUCUAGCAUAUUUGAAGUUUCUAGAAAAUAAAUUUUGCGAUUUUUCGAUAUCAUUUACCUAGCAAUCAAAAGGAUUCAAAAUCAAUAAUUUUUAACGACUGAAAAUAAAAAUUCUAUAAAAAGUGGUGAUAUAGCACUAAAAUUUUCGAUCAGAAAUAUUGAUCUUGUUGUAGAUAGUAUAAAGAAUUUUGUAUCAAAAUUUCAUCGGAUUUGAAUACUUCUAUAUCGUUAAACUUGAAACGGCAGAUAUCAACUAUUAAAAAUUAUUGAUUUUGAACGCUUCCGAUCACUAGGUAAAUGAUAUCAAAAAAUCGCAAAAAUUAUUUUCUAGAAACUUCAAAUACGAUAGAUCAAGUCUAACGGAGCCGAUCGUCGAUUUGAAAAUUCCACCAUCGAAAACGGCUCAGGAGCACACAGUAGCCCAGCUCUAUAUAUAUAUAUAUAUAUCUAUACUAUAUAUAAAAGCGCAUAGGAAUUCCGACAAUAACAGACGGAAUCCAAAAAGGAAUAAAAAAUAUUCCCUAUAUUUUUUAGGAACAGAUACAAACGGGUAUGAUCAAUUAAUUAAAAAAAUUUUAAAUAAGAACGAAUGGUUAUAAUUAAUCUGUUAAAAAGUAGGAUUAUUAUCCAUCUAUAAAAGAAUCAAAAAAGAAAUAAAAGAAUAUUCCCUAUAUUUUUUACAACCAUGUAUGAUCGCUUAAUUAAAAAAAUUUCAAAUAAGAAUGAACGGUUAUGAUUAAUCUGUUAAAAAUAACAUUCUUAUCCAUCUAUAAAUCCAAUCUUACGAAUGGUUGUGUCAAUUAAAAAUGAACGGUUCACUUAAUUAAAAUAAUCUCAAAUAAGAACGAACGGUUAUGAUUAAUCUGUUAAAAAAUAGCAUUCUUAUCCAAAAAUUUUAAUUAUAGUGGAUAAAAAUUAAAUUUUAAAUUUUGAAAUAAAUAUGAAUUAAAUUUUGAUGCUUUUUGUUUAAAACACAUAUUUAAAUUUUAGAUCAUUAGAAAUAAAAAAUAUAUAUAAAUAUUUAAUAUAUGUAAAAAAAAUAUAGAAUAUUACAAAUAUUUUCUAAUAAAAUAUAACAUAUGAAUUUAUAAAUUAUAAAUUUUUAAAUAAAUAUAAUGUGCAAAUUUAUAUUGAUUUAAAAUAAAUUAAAAU
rnacentral:lncRNA from 1 species